GACAGAGGGAGCUCGACCCCCGUGCCGCGGGCGGCCCCGCCGCCCAACGCAUGAGGAAAGUCCCCCCACCGGCCGGACGGGCGACCGGGCGCAAGCCCGGAGUCGGAGACGGCUGGCGCUGGAACAGAAACGAGACCCCCUGCCCCGACCGAUGAGGCGUGCGAACCGACCCGCAAGGGAAGGGAGCUAACCCGCCGAGGGACACGCGGCGCACUGCGUCGCAGACGGGCAGGAAGGGAUGGAACGGCGAAUCCUCGCCGGUGCAAGUCCGCGCCGAUAGGUAGUCCGGCCACGGCGCGGACGCUCAGCCGAAUGUCGAGCCGAACGGAAGGGGGCUUACUCCCCUCAGUC
rnacentral:RNase_P_RNA from 1 species